CCUACGGGCGGCUGCAGUGGGGAAUAUUGCACAAUGGGGGAAACCCUGAUGCAGCGACGCCGCGUGAGUGAAGAAGUAAUUCGUUACGUAAAGCUCUAUCAGCAGGGAAGAAACACUGACCUUACGGUCAGCAGACGGUACCUGAGUAAGAAGCCCCGGCUAACUACGUGCCAGCAGCCGCGGUAAUACGUCGGGGGCAAGCGUUAUCCGGAUUUACUGGGUGUAAAGGGAGCGUGGACGGUGCACCAAGUCUGGAGGGAAAUGCCGCAGCUUAACUGCGGAACUGCUGUGGAAACUGGUGAACUAGAGUGCGGGAGAGGUAAGCGGAAUGCCUAGUGUAGCGGUGAAAUGCGUAGAUAUUAGGAGGAACACCGGUGGCGAAGGCGGCUUACUGGACCGUAACUGACGUUGAGGCUCGAAAGCGUGGGGAGCAAACAGGAUUAGAUACCCGAGUAGUC
rnacentral:rRNA from 1 species